rnacentral:rRNA from 1 species
AAUAUUGGACAAUGGGCGAAAGCCUGAUCCAGCCAUGCCGCGUGUGUGAAGACGGUCUUCGGAUUGUAAAGCACUUUAAGUUGGCAGGAAAGGAUGUCGGUUAACACCCUGCAUUUUUGACGUUACCAACAGAUUAAGCACAGCCUAACUUCGUCCUAGAAGCCGCGGUAAUACGAAGGGUGCAAGCGUUAAUCGGAAUUACUGGCCGUAAAGCGCGCGUAGGUGGUUUGAUAAGUUGGAUGUGAAAGCCCCGGGCUCAACCUGGGAAUUGCAUCCAAAACUGUCUGACGAGAGUAUGGCAGAGGGUGGUGGAAUUUCCUGUGUAGCGGUGAAAUGCAUAGAUAUAGGAAGGAACACCAGUGGCGAAGGCGACCACCUGGGCUAAUACUGACACUGAGGUGCGAAAGCGUGGGGAGCAAACAGG